ensembl:lncRNA novel transcript, antisense to ERAP1
UGAACAGGGAGAACAUUUUUUUGCCCUUGAAGUUGGGGAACUAGAGAGUAAAUGGAACUUGUGUUUUGCUUUCCAUAUGGAAUUACUGGCAGCAACAGCUUAAUGAGCAUCGCCCCUGCCCCAAGACGGGAUCCAGAGGACUCUGUGAAGGUGGCAGGUUCAAGCAUGUAAGGACUCUGAAAGUCCCCGAGACCUCUCCAACAGCCCCAGAGAAGAUCUAGAAAUUCCAACUCGUUAUGAGCUGACAGAAAGGCUGAUGUGCUGCGGAAGGGGUUGGUACCGGGACCUUGGAUCAGAGGCUUUGCAGGGUUGGGUCCAUGAGGGGUCCAAAGAGAAACAGUUAUGUCUCAACGAGGAUGCAGUGCAUGAGUGGGGCUUGGUAAAAACUCCAUGUAGUGAAUAAAGGGCUUCACUAAUAAAUUCUCUUAUUAAUCCCAAA